rnacentral:rRNA from 1 species
AUUGAACGCUGGCGGCAUGCUUUACACAUGCAAGUCGAACGGUAACAGGCCGCAAGGUGCUGACGAGUGGCGAACGGGUGAGUAAUGCAUCGGAACGUGCCCAGUCGUGGGGGAUAACUACUCGAAAGAGUAGCUAAUACCGCAUACGAUCUAUGGAUGAAAGCGGGGGACCGUAAGGCCUCGCGCGAUUGGAGCGGCCGAUGUCAGAUUAGGUAGUUGGUGGGGUAAAGGCUCACCAAGCCAACGAUCUGUAGCUGGUCUGAGAGGACGACCAGCCACACUGGGACUGAGACACGGCCCAGACUCCUACGGGAGGCAGCAGUGGGGAAUUUUGGACAAUGGGCGCAAGCCUGGUCCAGCAAUGCCGCGUGCAGGAAGAAGGCCUUCGGGUUGUAAACUGCUUUUGUACGGAACGAAACGGCUCUGGUUAAUACCCGGGGCUAAUGACGGUACCGUAAGAAUAAGCACCGGCUAACUACGUG